GCAGGGGUGGUUCAGUGGUAGAAUUCUCGCCUUCCAUGUGGGUGACUGGGGUUCAAUACCCGGCCAACGCA
rnacentral:tRNA from 1 species